GCCAGCGAGGAUGGCUGCGCGCGCGUUUGAGCGCUCGCGCGCGGCGACCCGUCUGUCUCAUUCUUUUUUUCUUUUUUAAAUGUAACCUGGUUUAUUGGGCUCUCGGCGUAUUUUUGCGCUCCUUCUGCACUGGGACAAGACACCACUGCACUAUUGGACUACGGCAAGCUGGUACCGUCCGGUGGAGCUUCAUACAGGAACUACUGCCUUACCUGCUGGUGUCACAACGUUGGAUGAACGCACAAAAAGCGCGGAACGAGCUUUUAUAUAGAGCAAAAUAAAUAUUUCCUCAUUGCACAAAA